CAAAUUAAAGGAGUCAUCAUGGAUCAUUCUGAUUUUAAGAUCAGCCUCUAUGCUGAUCAUAUAAUAUUAACAUUGACAGAUCUGGUCACAUCGCUAGGGGCCUGGAACGUAGAGUUAGAAAAUUAUAGUAGAGUCUCAAAUUACAAAUUAAAUGUUGGUAAAUCCCAAGUUAUGCCCAUUAACUUAGACUCUAUAACAAUUAAUAGACUAUCAACUAAAUAUCCUUUU